rnacentral:rRNA from 1 species
ACCCAAUAGAUACCCUGGUAGUUCACGCCCUAAACGAUGAUAACUGGCUUUGCAGAGUAUCGACCCUCUGCGAGGCGAAAGCUAACGCGUUAAGUUAUCCGCCUGGGUAGUACGAUCGCAAGAUUAAAACUACAAAGGAAUAGACGGGGACUUGCACAAGCGGUGGAUCAUGCGGCUCAAUUCGAUGACAAACGAAGAACCUCACCAGGGUUUGAAACCCAGACGAAAUCUCUAGGAAACUAGAGACCUCGCAAGACGGCUGGGCAGGUGAUGCAUGGUCGUCGUCAGUUCGUGGCUUGAGUUGUUCCCUUCAGUGGGGUAACGAACGCAACCCCGUUGCCUGUUUUAUAUGUCAGGCGAGACUGCUCCCUCACGGGAGGAGGAAGGUGGGGUAUGACGCCAGAUCAGCAUGUCCCCGUCUGAUAUCCUGGGGUCUGCACGCAUGAUACAAUGCACGCGACAACGAGACGCAAUACCGUAAGGUGGAGCAAAUC